rnacentral:rRNA from 1 species
GAUUGGGAGGAGGUUACGACCUCCGCGUAGUCAAGGAUAGUGCCUAGAAAAACUAAUUAUGUGUUGAAAGCGUAGUACCUGUACCCGAAACCGACACAGGUAGGGUGGUAGAGUAUACCGAGGGGCGCGAGGUAACUCUCUCUAAGGAACUCGGCAAAAUUGCUCCGUAACUUCGGGAGAAGGAGUGCCACCGCAAGGUGGUCGCAGUGAAGAGGCCCAGGCGACUGUUUACCAAAAACACAGGUCUCUGCCAACUCGUAAGAGGAUGUAUAGGGGCUGACGCCUGCCCAGUGCCGGAAGGUUAAGGAAGUCGGUUAGCUUCGGCGAAGCUGACGACUGAAGCCCCGGUGAACGGCGGCCGUAACUAUAACGGUCCUAAGGUAGCGAAAUUCCUUGUCGGGUAAGUUCCGACCCGCACGAAAGGCGUAACGAUCUGGGCACUGUCUCGGAGAGAGGCUCGGCGAAAUAGGAUUGUCUGUGAAGAUACGGACUACCUGCACCUGGACAGAAAGACCCUAUGAAGCUUUACUAUAGCUUGGUAUUGGGUUCGGGCUUUGUUUGCGCAGGAUAGGUGGGAGGCGUUGAGAUAUUCCUUGUGGGGAAUAAGGAGCCAAUGGUGAGAUACCACUCUAACAAGGCUAGAAUUCUAACUUUGAGCCGUGAAGCCGGCCAAAGGACAGUAUCAGGUGGGUAGUUUGACUGGGGCGGUCGCCUCCUAAACGAUAACGGAGGCGUACAAAGGUUCCCUCAGGCUGGUUGGAAAUCAGCCAUUGAGUGCAAAGGCAUAAGGGAGCUUGACUGCGAGACCUACAAGUCAAGCAGGAUGGAAACAUGGUCUUAGUGAUCCGACGGCACUGCGUGGAAGGGCCGUCGCUCAACGGAUAAAAGUUACUCUAAGGAUAACAGGCUGAUCUCCCCCAAGAGUUCACAUCGACGGGGAGGUUUGGCACCUCGAUGUCGGCUCAUCGCAACCUGGGGCUGAAGUAGGUCCCAAGGGUUGGGCUGUUCGCCCAUUAAAGCGGUACGUGAGCUGGGUUCAGAACGUCGUGAGACAGUUCGGUCCAUAUCCGGUGCAGGCGCAAGAGUAUUGAGAGGAUUCUUCCUUAGUACGAGAGGGCCGGGAAGGACGCACCGCUGGUGUACCUGUUAUCGUGCCAACGGUAAACGCAGGGUAGCCAAGUGCGGAGUGGAUAACCGCUGAAAGCAUCUAAGUGGGAAGCCCACCUCAAGAUGAGUACUCUCAUGGAGUUAAUCCAGUAAGGUCACGGGAAGAACACCCGUUAAUAGGCAUUAGGUGGAAGUAUGGCAACAUAUGCAGCCGAGAUGUCCUAACAGACCGAGGGCUUGUCC